rnacentral:lncRNA from 10 species
AUCAUAACAGAGGUUUAAGAAAAUCUGUAGAGGUACUUAAUGGAAGAGAGAUUCAAGUGACAGGGUGGGUAAUGUAAAAUGUUGCAAGAUGUUGCUGAACAACUAGGGAGCCAAUGUAAACCACAGAAGAACUUCAGUACAGCUACAGAUUACAGGAAUUACUGGAAGGUAAAAAAUGCAGGCGUUUAGUAUCCUAAAGAGGUCCGGAAGCUGACAGAGAAAACAAGCAAAGCAGCACAGUGAAGCAGGGUCAUGCUCCUCACCCACGCACCUGGAGGAACUACGCCAAUACCAUCAUCAACCUCAUAAUCUGAGAUGUCACUAUCACUGAUUCGCUGAGAUCCUGCACAACAGCUUCAAGGAAAGGCGAACAUAUUUAAAGACAGACUCAGACAGUGUAUGCAAAUACUAACAGCCUCCAACAUGUACAAAAAAUACAUACAGAAAGUUGCCCUGGUAAGACUUGUGGGGCAUCUUUUAGAGCUCCAGGACUUGUUGGAGAAAUAACAGAAAUGGAAGGCCUUUCCAUCUUCUGAGAUUCAAAGGAACUUGAACCUAAAAUGAGAAAAAAAAACAGAGUUUCGCUCUUGUUGCCCAGGCUGGAGUGCAAUGGCAUGAUCUUGGCUCACCGCAACCUCCACCUCGCAGGUUCAAGCAAUUCUUCUGCCUCAGCCUCCUGAGUAGCUGGGAUUACAGGCAUGCACCAACACGUCCGGCUAAUUUUGUAUUUUUAGUAGAGACGGGGUUUCUCCAUGUUGAGGCUGGUCUCGAACUCCUGACCUCAGGUGAUCCGCCCACCUCGGCCUCCCCAUCUAUCUUAGUUUUGAUCUUAUAAAUGAGUAUCCUGAACCUCUGAAAAUGCUGCUUCAAGUAAUUCACCACUAGUGAUUUGUUUCAACUUCACAUGGAGGAGGCUGGGUCUCCUCUCAGCCACUUGGUGGAGUUCUUCACUGUUCCAAGUAUACCCUGACACAGAGAGCAAUACAGAGUGUUUAUAGAAGGCUAUUGAUCCAGCAAGUACAACCUUGAACUCACCACCAUUCAAACUUAGCCAAUGCUUCAUUGAGAAAUACUGUUUAUGAAGCAUUGCCUGAGUAUGUGCAAUCCGCACAUUUUUUUCUAUAAGUACAAAUUAAUUCUCAUGUCAUCCUUUUGUGCCCUCCGAAAACAUUUAGUGAUAAAAAACAGCUAUAUAAAAUUGUUACUAUGUGUCUUUUCCCAGGUAUAUUUAAAAUACAUUUUCCUUAAGUCUCAGAACAGGAACACUGUUAUUUCUAAUAAUGCUUGUUUGUAAUAUUAUGGCAAUCAGUGUAUUUUUUAAUCAUAUCAAUAAUAUAAAUUAUGCAAUUAGUCCCACUUCCCUCUUUGUAUUGGUCACCAGAAAGCUCAAAGCCAAAACUGGGUCCACCUCUAGCAGAACAUGAUGGUAUGCAUUUUAUAUGAUAACCUAGUGUCUGUUUCCUUGUUUAUCCUACUUUCAUAUUUUCUUCUCCCUUCUAAUCACUAUCACUGGUUUUCCCCUAAAUCACCUUUUAUUUUCUAUUUCUUUAACUUGGGUUCUGUAAGAACACCUGGGGAAUCAAGCCCAAGUAUUAACUUAAUUCCCAUCCAUUGCAAAGUAAAUAUUUGGGUCACUUCUGCAUUAUCAUUGAAAACUUAAUUGUCUAUAUUUUAUUGCACACAAUAUCAUCUUCUGUCAUACAGAAACGACUUAAAUUCCCAUAUAGAUAAUUCUUUCAACCCUCUGGUUUCACAAUCUCUUGACCUAUUAUGUUUAAUGAAGUUUACUCCACCCAUUCACUUCCAAAAUCAAUCCACACACUUUGUUAUUCAGUAAUACAAUUAUUUGUUAAAGUGUCUACCUAGUUUCUUCACUAGGCUGCUCUUGAGACUGAGCUGCUUAGCAAUCAAACUGAAUAAUCCAGUAUCACAAUAAAUGUUAAUGUAACUAGAACUAUUCCUGAUAUAUUAAGCUCUGUAAGGGUCCUGACUGUUAUGAUGCUGAAGAGUAUUCCCAGUAAAGAUUUUUUUUUUAAUCACAUAAAAAAGUAGAGGAAGAAAAAUCCUGAAGUAGGACUUCUUUGGAUUUCCAGUUAUUGCCAUCAUUGCCAACAUCUAGUACCAAUGGAGACAUCUUUAGUAUAGUAACCCCAAUUCAUUAUAUCAAAUAACUAAAGAAAAUUAGAAAUCUUUACUUUCAAUUAGUUCAAUACUUUUAUAAUAACAAAGAAACCUUAUACUCACUGGACUCCAGUGGAGGGUGGGAGCUCUCAGGAAUCCGGGGAAUGUCACUAAAAGAAACAGGAUAUGGUGAAAAUCCCAUUAGUUAAAUGACCCUGCCUGAGGCAAUCAUAGCCCAUUAUACGUGAUGUGAAAAAUCCUGCUGGGUCUUUACAGGUGUGGAAAUGAAUAGGAGUUACUAUUAAGGCAACUACUAAUGUGCAUGAAUGUCAAACACCACACAAAAAAAACUGCAAUAAAAAAGUUUUUACAUAUUUAAGAGCAAAACUUUAACAUGACAACAAUCAGACUAAUAUUGUGGUUAAAAUCACCACAAUAUUUUUACUACCAAAACAGCAGGUUUUGGAAAUAAAAAAUGUUAAAGGUAAUACUUUCCUUCAAUUAUAGGAAAUCAAAAUGACACAAAUUUUACACAUCAGUAAUAUGCUUUACAAACACAUCUGAAAGAGUUUACCAAGUGAAAGGGAUGGGAACAUCUCAAUAAUAAAAUGAUGUGGUGAAUAUCAUGGGCAAAGUUAAAUGAAAAGGAUGAGUUGCUUUGGAAAGUAAAAAUGGUUCAAGCUUGCAACAAAAAAGCCAAAUUAUUUUAUAUAUGUGAAUAUAUAAUAUAUAUACACAUAUAUACCCUUUAUAGAGAUUCAUAUCUCUAUACUGAAGUUAGCUAAAUAUAUGACUAUUUACCAUAUGGUUAGAAAGUGACUUGUGAGACCACCCAUUCCUGCCACACUGACAAAUUACUCUGAAGAAAUAUAUGUACUAUAAUCUCAACUUAAUCCAUUACCCACUAUGACCUUAAGAACCCUAGAUCACCUUGGUUUAGGUAUUAUACUGCAUAGGACUAUUUUACUUCUCAUUUUCCAAAGACGUUUUAAUAUCAAUUUAAGAUUAACAAUAUGCAAAUAUUAACAUGACAUAUUAAAGCAGACUGGAGUUAGCUAGUCCCAACAAAAUUAUAAGCAUAUUUUUUAAGAAUUUCUAACCACCUACCUUAUGAGCUGACUUCACUUUUUCUUUUCACUUUUGGGGGGAAUGAAAACAAAAAGAGUUUUCCCUGUUUGUUCUCUGCAGUUGUCAUUUUGACUAUUUUGUGCAAAGUAAUUCUCAUAACCAACUAUAAUUUAUACUUCCUAAAAAUGACAAUCUGGCCUAUGCUGUGUAUUUUAUAAAUUUUAUUAUAUAUUUUUGUAUGACUAUACAUUUAUAUAAAAUCAUUUGAAUGAAUUAAAAGACUAAUUUACAAUACCCAAAACACAGAAAAAACUAUAUAUUCUGCUACUUUCUUCUAAAUUAAUGCAAGCAAAUAAAAUUAAAUUGUAAAAAAAUCCAGGAACAAUUUUUAGAUAGUAUGACUUCUUAAAAAAUCAGCCUCAUAGUCCAUUAUGAAAUCAGAAUUUGAAGUUCUAAAGCCAGGUACAAACUUUGGAAUUUACAUGCCUGUGAAAAAAGAAUGGUGGCAAAGUUGUUGAAAAUAUGUUAAAGUGACUUUUAGUUAAAAUUUAUUUAUGUUAAUUGCUUCAGCAAUAUUUUCAGGCAUAAAUUUCCACUGGAUGUUUACAUAUCCAGUGGAAUUCUUUAUUAGUUCUAUUUACCAGUUAGGUAGUAGAGUAGUUUUAAUAACAAUUAAAAGCAUAAAGGUCAAGGAUAUUGUAUUUGGUGGGUUCACAAAAAAAGUCAAUACCUCAAGAUGGCUGAUGCCUCUUAGUGUGUACUGAUCAAUGUGCUUGUAAGUUAUAUUUAGAAUGAUUCCUGAAAUCACUAUGCCACUACAUUAUGAAUAAAUAUUUUCUUUUUCCUUUAAUUAUAGUUGUUAAACAGGACUACAUUAAAUAUUAUUAUUAAAACAUAGCUUUCCAGCCUGGGUAACAGAACAAGACCAUGUCUUUAAAAAAAAAAAAAGCAGCUAAAAUUAUUUUUCUAGGAUUCCAAUAAUGUAUUCACUAGAAAGAAAGUUGAUACUACCUUUGAUUCUGAUUCAAUUAUAAUCUUUGUAUUCCAUGUCCUUUGAAUUCUAUAAUCUUUAAAUUAUAAUUUUUGUAUUCCAUGUUCCUUUCAAUUCUAUAAUCUAUAAUAGUUUAGAAUUUGGCUGUGCAGAUGAUUACUUCUUAAUUAAUUUUCAUAAAAAGUAAAAAUAAUGUUAUUCCAGUCUACUUUAAUUGUCUGUUACUUUUUUAAGUCACCAUGAAUCAAUUCUGUUUUUGCUGUUUACUUUUAAACCACUAUAUAUUUGAAAGUAUUUGGCAAGUGCACAAUGCUUGAUUCUAAACUUUAGCUUUCAUACUUUUGAUUCAUUUUCCAAUUUACUUACCUCUUUUCCAGCCUUAUAUUUACCUCAGCACUAGAACAUAUGUCAUGUAAAACUAGCAUAAAUUGUAGUAUUGUUAUUUUAAAAAUCUACAUGGAAAUGUACAACACUUUUGCAAAUGUCUUCAGUGUUCACUCUUAAUAAUAACCAGUUAAAAUUGGUUAAAAGCUUGCCUUUAUUUUAGAGUUUUAUAUAUUAAUAUUAUUUGAUAUAUGAUCAUACAUUUUCAUUCUUUGAGAAUUAUGAUAAUUAUAUCUUCUUGUAUGUUUUGCAUUGACAUAUAUUCAUGAGGCCGAUACAAAUUAAAGGUUAGCAUUUUUUCAACAUAAAAAGCCUUGAAAUAAUGGCUGUAUUAAAUUUUGGAGAAUAGGGAAAAAAAGAAUCAUUUCCAAGAACACAUUCAAACAUUAAGCCAAGUAUAAUAAAACAGUUCAAAAUGCCCUUAAAAAUUAUAGACUGGCAAAAUGAAUAUUUAUUUUGGACCAUGUGGGUUUGCCAGAAAAAGGCAACGAUAUGGGGAAAUCUAUAUACAUACAUAGAAAAUAUCCCACUGGCUAUAGAUAAUUAAAUUGUACUGAAAAUUGAGGUUUUAAAAAUAUCAUUAUGACCAAUUAAAAUGUUAAAAUAUUUAAUACUUCUUGCUUGAUUUUAAAUAAAAGUUGAAAUUACUCAUGGUUAAAGAGACAG